GCCGAUUCGUCUCCUUGGCUGAGAUCCUCAAAAUUGAUGAUCUCCGUCAAUCCACCAAUUCUCCAUAUGGAAAAUGUGUGGCAAAUUGCUGUGCUGCAGCAAUCAAAUGCUCUCUAGGAAAACCAUGUCUGUCUCUUCUCACAGGGGGAGUGCUUCUAGUGGUUGUCAGGAGGACACAAGCAGACAGUAGGCAAAUAAAUAAAUGGGGGGGGGGAGGGGAGACAACCUUGUAGGGAUAAUUGUAGGGACAAAAUAUUAA